UACGAGGGGGGCAAGCGUUGUUCGGAAUUAUUGGGCGUAAAGGGCGCGUAGGUGGCCCGACAAGUCAGUGGUGAAAGCUCGACGCUUAACGUCGAGUCGGCCACUGAUACUGUUGGGCUGGAGCACUGUAGAGGCAGAUGGAAUUCCGGGUGUAGCGGUGGAAUGCGUAGAGAUCCGGAAGAACACCGGUGGCGAAGGCGGUCUGCUGGGCAGUAGCUGACACUGAGGCGCGACAGCGUGGGGAGCAAACAGG
rnacentral:rRNA from 1 species